rnacentral:lncRNA from 1 species
AGAAAAUGGUGUAAAGAGACAAUUUGGUGAAAAUGCCCCUAAAACUGCCUAAAAUGGAGCAAAGGAGAGCAAGCAUGCCAAGUGCACCUUGAAAGGAGCCAAAUAAGGAAAGCAAUUUGAAAUUCAAAUUUCAAAUCCUUAAGAGAAUUCAAAAUCCAAAAUCAAGAUUCAGCUCAUUAAGGAAAGUGCUAAAUAAGAAAAGUUGCAAACAAGGAAAGUG